UCACAGCGAAGACAGGAAGAAGACAACCACCCGGCCUCAAUGCCUGAGAGAUGUUAACACCGAUAUGUCAAUUCACAGAGCGAUCUGGGAGGGUGUCAAUGCAAGCUAUCCAUAUGUCUUCGGUGGUUGAAGAUACUUGAGUUUAGUAGUGGGACCCCGAAGGAAAUUAUUCCUCCAAUUCGAUCUACAAUGCUCACUCUGUGACGCAACUACAUGUGACACAGCAAAGGUGAUCUGGGGUUCUUGGGCACCAUUACGAUGCAAGCUUGCAACCUGGCUAUUCGUUGGAGGCAGAGUUUGGACAGCAGGCAUGCCUACAAAACGUGGACUGCCACAUAACAAGAGUUGUCUGUUUUGCGGUUCAGCGCAACAAGAUUCUCAAUAUUUAAUGGUUGUGUUGUGGUAAACAUAAUCUGGAUCAAUGGCCUUGGGUGGUCUAAACUUAGACAGGUCAUGCCAACCAUGAAUCUGAACCUGCGCCUGUGGUGGACACAAGCUAGAGACACAUUGCAAGAUUCAGAAAAGAAGAUAUUUAAUUCGCUGGUAAUGCUAACCGCAUGGAGAAAUUGCUCCCGUGUGCGAGAGGGGAAACGGGCCGGCUUGCAGCUCCCGUUCCGCGUUGACAGCCACGGCUGGAGUGGCAUAAGGCAACAGCUCUGCGUUCUCACAGGUACAUGGAAGAUAUCGCAUGCGCAAGAAAAAGAAUGAAUUGAAGGAAAGGAGAGCACACUAAUUCACCUUUACACCUAGCUGACCCUUGCUAGCGGGCAUAGCAAAACUUAGCGGUGACCAACAGGUGAUAAACAAGCAAGGGAGGGAGAGGAGAAGCUGGUGGGGUACUCACAAAGAGGAUUCUGACAUGUUUUUCUGACCAUGUUGAUCACUAGCUGGUAUUCUAAAAAAAUUAAAUUCGUGAAUUUAUCUGGAAAUAACUACAAACAUUUAGUCUUGUAAUAACAUCCAACACAAUGAUGAUGAUGUAAUCAUCCAAGACAACGAUGAUUUAAUCAUUCAACACAAAUUGGGGCGAUAAGGAAUUGGUUGAUCAAGUUUGUACUGUGAGUUAUCUAUGGUGUUCAAUUUUUUUUUUAUCAUUUAACAUCAAAGUUCGUAGUAACAAUGAUUAUUGCUCCUGGA